UACAGAGGGUGCAAGCGUUGUUCGGAAUUAUUGGGCGUAAAGCGUGUGUAGGCGGAUUGGUAAGUACCUUGUGAAAUCCCACGGCUUAACCGUGGAACUGCUUGGUAUACUGCCUGUCUUGAGCCAGCUAGGGGCGACCGGAACAAAUGGUGGAGCGGUGAAAUGCGUAGAUAUCAUUUGGAACGCCAAUGGUGAAAACAGGUCGCUGGGGCUGUGCUGACGCUGAGACACGAAAGCCAGGGGAGCAAACGGG
rnacentral:rRNA from 1 species